rnacentral:rRNA from 1 species
AACGAACGCUGGCGGCAUGCCUAACACAUGCAAGUCGAACGAGAUCUUCGGGUCUAGUGGCGCACGGGUGCGUAACGCGUGGGAAUCUGCCCUUUGGUUCGGAAUAACAGUUGGAAAAGACUGCUAAUACCGGAUGAUGACGAAAGUCCAAAGAUUUAUCGCCAAAGGAUGAGCCCGCGUAGGAUUAGCUAGUUGGGGUGGUAAAGGCGCACCAAGGCGACGAUCCUUAGCUGGUCUGAGAGGAUGAUCAGCCACACUGGGACUGAGACACGGCCCAGACUACUACGGGAGGCAGCAGUGGGGAAUAUUGGACAAUGGGCGAAAGCCUGAUCCGGCAAUGCCGCGUGAGUGAUGAAGGCCUUAGGGUUGUAAAGCUCUUUUACCCGGGAUGAUAAUGACAGUACCGGGAGAAUAAGCUCCGGCUAACUCCGUGCCAGCCGCCGCCGUAA